rnacentral:rRNA from 1 species
UACGGGGGGGGCAAGCGUUGUUCGGAAUUACUGGGCGUACAGGGAGCGUAGGCGGUUGGAUAAGCCCUCCGUGAAAUCUCCAGGCUUAACCUGGAAAGUGCAGAGGGGACUGUUCAGCUAGAGGAUGGGAGAGGAGCGCGGAAUUCCCGGUGUAGCGGUGAAAUGCGUAGAGAUCGGGAGGAAGGCCGGUGGCGAAGGCGGCGCUCUGGAACAUUUCUGACGCUGAGGCUCGGAAAGCGUGGGGAGCAAACAGG